rnacentral:rRNA from 1 species
CUGGCGGCAGGCCUAACACAUGCAAGUCGAGCGCUCACUUCGGUGGGAGCGGCGGACGGGUUAGUAACGCGUGGGAAUAUGCCCGGUACUAAGGAAUAGCCUUUGGAAACGAAGAGUAAUACCUUAUACGCCCUUCGGGGGAAAGAUUUAUCGGUAUCGGAUUAGCCCGCGUAAGAUUAGAUAGUUGGUGGGGUAAUGGCCUACCAAGUCUACGAUCUUUAGCUGGUUUUAGAGGAUGAUCAGCAACACUGGGACUGAGACACGGCCCAGACUCCUACGGGAGGCAGCAGUGGGGAAUCUUAGACAAUGGGCGCAAGCCUGAUCUAGCCAUGCCGCGUGAGUGAAGAAGGCCUUAGGGUCGUAAAACUCUUUCGCCAGAGAUGAUAAUGACAGUAUCUGGUAAAGAAACCCCGGCUAACUCCGUGCCAGCAGCCGCGGUAAUACGGAGGGGGUUAGCGUUGUUCGGAAUUACUGGACGUAAAGCGCACGUAGGCGGACUGGAAAGUUGGGGGUGAAAUCCCGGGGCUCAACCUCGGAACUGCCUCCAAAACUAUCAGUCUAGAGUUCGAGAGAGGUGAGUGGAAUUCCAAGUGUAGAGGUGAAAUUCGUAGAUAUUUGGAGGAACACCAGUGGCGAAGGCGGCUCACUGGCUCGAUACUGAAGCUGAGGUGCGAAAGUGUGGGGAGCAAACAGGAUUAGAUA